AACGCUGGGGAAACCAGCCCGCUGCCGGCUGGAAGGCUCUUCCACCACCGUCUGGGACCCCAUCCGCCGCUGCUGAGCUGGGGAACCAACGCGCUGCUGUCCGCGAGGCCCCACGCGCCGCACGACCUGGAGGCUCCUCCUCCACCGUUGGGCUGGGGAGCCAGCGCUCCGCCAUCCGCGAGGCCCCACCCGCCGCACGUCUGGGAGGCUUCUCCGCCGCCGUCCGCUGGUUGCCCUCAGGCUGAUGCUCCGUCACCCGCCCCGCAGCCCCCUGGGGCGAGCUCCUCUGGGCAGUGAGUGAACAGGUGCUUUUGCCUGAAAUUCUAGCAGUCUGAAGUCUCGAGCUGCAGCAGCUAAGCUUUUCUUUGCCAGCUGCUUUGUGCCUGAAACUGCUACGAUCUUUCCCAGAACAAAGGCAGGACCAAUUCCCAGAACAAAGGCAACUGAAGCUCGUCACAAUUAGCGUAGCUGCUUCAGGAUCACAAAGAAUCCGAAGGCACAUGAAACAAUUUACAAUGAUGCUGUAAUAUUAGUUAAGAAAAUCCUAGAUAGCCAAACAUGUACAGAUUUAGGGGCCUCGCGGAAACAUGUACAGAUUCUGUUCUUACAUGUACAGAAAAUCCUAGAUAGCCAAACAUGCACAUGUACAGACAUCUGAAAAAUGUCCUAGGUACUGAAACAUGUACAGAUUUGUUGUAAUCCUGAUACUCUUGAGAGCAACGUAGAAUAAUUUGUCAUC